UGGCUGUCACAUGGAGGAUGGAGCAAGCUUGUUUCCUCCUGCUCUGGAAGGUGCCAGGGGCCUUCCGAGAGGCUGCUGUGACCUUCGCUGGAAAUGUGGAGGCAUCGCCGGAAACAACCCAGAGGCAGCUUGGUGGGGAGUUCAAGCGGGGAAAUGAGGGGGUCUCCAGCGUGCUGGGUGGGAUUUGAGGAGGCCGCCGCAGAUGUCUCUGAGGAAG